rnacentral:rRNA from 1 species
AUUGAACGCUGGCGGCAGGCCUAACACAUGCAAGUCGAGCGGAUGAAGGGAGCUUGCUCCUGGAUUCAGCGGCGGACGGGUGAGUAAUGCCUAGGAAUCUGCCUGGUAGUGGGGGAUAACGUCUGGAAACGGGCGCUAAUACCGCAUACGUCCUGAGGGAGAAAGUGGGGGAUCUUCGGACCUCACGCUAUCAGAUGAGCCUAGGUCGGAUUAGCUAGUUGGUGGGGUAAAGGCCUACCAAGGCGACGAUCCGUAACUGGUCUGAGAGGAUGAUCAGUCACACUGGAACUGAGACACGGUCCAGACUCCUACGGGAGGCAGCAGUGGGGAAUAUUGGACAAUGGGCGAAAGCCUGAUCCAGCGAUGCCGCGUGUGUGAAGAAGGUCUUCGGAUUGUAAAGCACUUUAAGUUGGGAGGAAGGGCAGUAAGUUAAUACCUUGCUGUUUUGACGUUACCAACAGAAUAAGCACCGGCUAACUUCG